UGGCUAUGAUUAAUUCUUAUCCGCGCUUCUGAGAUCUUCAGUCGAUGAAGCAUAAAUCGGAACAAUGGUUGAAUUUCUUGAUAUGAGCCA